GUGCUUGCUUUGGCAGCACAUAUACUAAAAUUGGAAUGAUACAGAGAAGAUUAGCAUGGCCCCUGCACAAGGAUAACAUACAAAUUUGUGAAGCGUUUCAUGUUUUU
rnacentral:snRNA from 1 species